rnacentral:rRNA from 1 species
UCGAGGAUCUUCGGCAAUGGGCGCAAGCCUGACCGAGCGACGCCGCGUGCGCGAUGAAGGCCUUCGGGUUGUAAAGCGCUGUCGAGGGGGAGGAAAGCCCGCAAGGGUCUGACUAAUCCCUGGAGGAAGCACGGGCUAAGUUCGUGCCAGCAGCCGCGGUAAGACGAACCGUGCGAACGUUGUUCGGAUUCACUGGGCUUAAAGGGCGCGUAGGCGGGCGAUCAAGUCAGGGGUGAAAUCCUCCGGCUCAACCGGAGAACAGCUUUUGAUACUGAUCGCCUCGAGGGAGGUAGGGGCAUGUGGAACUUCCGGUGGAGCGGUGAAAUGCGUAGAUAUCGGAAGGAACGCCGGUGGCGAAAGCGACGUGCUGGACCUUCUCUGACGCUGAGGCGCGAAAGCCAGGGGAGCAAACGGGAUUAGAUACCCCCGUAGUCC